rnacentral:rRNA from 1 species
UACAGAGGUCUCAAGCGUUGUUCGGAUUCAUUGGGCGUAAAGGGUGCGCAGGCGGCCGUGUGUGUGAGGCGUGAAAGCCCGGGGCUUAACCCCGGAAUUGCACCUCAAACUACACGGCUAGAGCAUUGGAGAGGGUAGCAGAAUUCACGGUGUAGCAGUGAAAUGCGUAGAUAUCGUGAGGAAUACCAGAGGCGAAGGCGGCUACCUGGACAAUUGCUGACGCUCAGGCACGAAAGCGUGGGGAGCAAAAGGG